GACGAACGCUGGAGGCGUGCUUAACACAUGCAAGUCGAACGAAGUGGCGAACGGGUGAGUAAUACGUGGGUAACCUGCCCUCCUUAUUGGGAUAAGCCUUGGAAACGAGGUCUAAUACCGAAUAGAGGGGGAUGGGCUCGCGGCCUAUCAGCUUGUUGGUUGGGUGAUGGACUACCAAGGCGGUGACGGGUAGCCGGCCUGAGAGGGUGACGGGCCACAUUGGGACGGCGACACGCACCAGACUCCUAGGGGAUGCAGCAGUGGGGGAGAUUGCACAAGGGGCGAAAGUAUGAUGCAGCGACGCCGCGUGGGGGAUGAAGGCUUGCGGGGUGGAAACCUCUGGUGUUAGAGAAGGAGGAUCUAACCAGAAAGCGACGGCUAACUACGUGCCAGCAGCCGCGGUAAUUC
rnacentral:rRNA from 1 species